CACACUUGAUGCAGCACCCAGAGGACCAAGCUCAGAGGGACAGAAGGUAGCAAGGGACACACCAAACACUGGCUGAGAAUCUGACCAGCUCCUGUCUGCAGUAAGAGGCUGAUGUACUAUUGGUGUGAGCAGGAUGUAAGACCGCACCAGAGUGAUGUGCCAACAUGUGCAAAGAUGGAUCUCACUCGUUCAUGACACCGUAUCAGAAAAAUCUACCAUCGGGCUGUUUGCCCAUUAAUUAAAUUGCCUGGUGAGCAUGGAAGGGUGGGGAAAGGAUCUGGGCAAGCUGUUUAUUCCC
rnacentral:lncRNA from 1 species